rnacentral:rRNA from 1 species
UACGUAGGGGGCAAGCGUUGUCCGGAUUUACUGGGCGUAAAGAGCGUGUAGGCGGCCACGCAGGGCCGUUGUGAAAACUGGAGGCUCAACCUCCAGCUGUCGACGGAAACCGUGUGGCUAGAGUCCGGAAGAGGAGAGUGGAAUUCCUGGUGUAGCGGUGAAAUGCGCAGAUAUCGUAAGGAAGACCAGUGGCGAAGGCGGGUCUCUGGACAGUUCCUGACGCUGAGGCACGAAGGUCAGGGGAGCAAACGGG